rnacentral:rRNA from 1 species
GAUGAACGCUGGCGGCGUGCCUAAUACAUGCAAGUCGAGCGAAUGGAUUAAGAGCUUGCUCUUAUGAAGUUAGCGGCGGACGGGUGAGUAACACGUGGGUAACCUGCCCAUAAGACUGGGAUAACUCCGGGAAACCGGGGCUAAUACCGGAUAACAUUUUGAACCGCAUGGUUCGAAAUUGAAAGGCGGCUUCGGCUGUCACUUAUGGAUGGACCCGCGUCGCAUUAGCUAGUUGGUGAGGUAACGGCUCACCAAGGCAACGAUGCGUAGCCGACCUGAGAGGGUGAACGGCAACACUGGGACUGAGACACGGCCCAGACUCCUGCGGGAGGCAGCAGUAGGGAAUCUUCCGCAAUGGACGAAAGUCUGACGGAGCAACGCCGCGGGAGUGAUGAAGGCUUUCGGGUCGUAAAACUCUGUUGUUAGGGAAGAACAAGUGCUAGUUGAAUAAGCUGGCACCUUGACGGUACCUAACCAGAAAGCCACGGCUAACUACGUGCCAGCCGCCGCAGUAA